AAGUCGUAACAAGGUUUCCGUAGGUGAACCUGCGGAAGGAUCAUUAACACGUAUCCAACGUUAAACAACCCUGUGAACUUUAAGUCCCCUCUUGCAGCCCAUGAGGAACAGCAAUCCCGGUAAAUCAUUGCCAAACAGUUUUGAUUCGGGACCUCUGUCCAAAAGGAGUUGCAAUCGAAGGGUGGAAGCAGUGGCAGUUAGUGAAUGACAGUGUCACUGACUGUGUAAGGAUAACGCCUCACGGUUGCUAGAGGUCGAUCACCGACCGGCAGACAUGUCACAGGGUCACCACGCCCCUUAAUCACUCCACUUGAAAAUGCCCCGCCUAGUGGUAACGCGCUAGGUAAAAAAAACCGAACAACUGUUAACAAUGGAUAUCUUGGUUCUC
rnacentral:misc_RNA from 1 species